rnacentral:rRNA from 1 species
GUCCACGCCGUAAACGAUGAGUGCUAAGUCUUAGAGGGUUUCCGCCCUUUAGUGCUGCAGCUAACGCAUUAAGCACUCCGCCUGGGGAGUACGGUCGCAAGACUGAAACUCAAAGGAAUUGACGGGGGCCCCGCACAAGCGGUGGAGCAUGUGGUUUAAUUCGAAGCAACGCGAAGAACCUUACCAGGUCUUGACAUCCUCUGACAACUCUAGAGAUAGAGCGUUCCCCUUCGGGGGACAGAGUGACAGGUGGUGCAUGGUUGUCGU